UUGAACGCUGGCGGCAUGCUUUACACAUGCCAGUCGAACGGUAACAGGCCUUCGGGUGCUGACGAGUGGCGAACGGGUGAGUAAUGCAUCGGAACGUACCCAGAGGUGGGGGAUAACGCAGCGAAAGCUGUGCUAAUACCGCAUGUGAUCUGAGGAUGAAAGCGGGGGACCGAGCAGCAAUGUUUGGCCUCGCGCCUUUGGAGCGGCCGAUGUCGGAUUAGCUAGUUGGUGGGGUAAAGGCCUACCAAGGCGACGAUCCGUAGCUGGUCUGAGAGGACGACCAGCCACACUGGGACUGAGACACGGCCCAGACUCCUACGGGAGGCAGCAGUGGGGAAUGUUGGACAAUGGGCGCAAGCCUGAUCCAGCAAUGCCGCGUGCGGGAAGAAGGCCUUCGGGUUGUAAACCGCUUUUGGCAGGAACGAAACGGUGUCCGCUAAUACCGGGCGCUAAUGACGGUACCUGCAGAAUAAGCACCGGCUAACUACGUG
rnacentral:rRNA from 1 species